rnacentral:rRNA from 13 species
GUGGGGGACAACGUUUCGAAAGGAACGCUAAUACCGCAUACGUCCUACGGGAGAAAGCAGGGGACCUUCGGGCCUUGCGCUAUCAGAUGAGCCUAGGUCGGAUUAGCUAGUUGGUGGGGUAAUGGCUCACCAAGGCGACGAUCCGUAACUGGUCUGAGAGGAUGAUCAGUCACACUGGAACUGAGACACGGUCCAAACUCAUACGGGAGGCAGCAGUGGGGAAUAUUGGACAAUGGGCGAAAGCCUGAUCCAGCCAUGCCGCGUGUGUGAAGAAGGUCUUCGGAUUGUAAAGCACUUUAAGUUGGGAGGAAGGGCAGUAAGUUAAUACCUUGCUGUUUUGACGUUACCGACAGAAUAAGCACCGGCUAACUCUGUGCCAGCAGCCGCGGUAAUACAGAGGGUGCAAGCGUUAAUCGGAAUUACUGGGCGUAAAGCGCGCGUAGGUGGUUUGUUAAGUUGGAUGUGAAAGCCCCCGGGCUCAACCUGGGAACUGCAUCCAAAACUGGCAAGCUAGAGUACGGUAGAGGGUGGUGGAAUUUCCUGUGUAGCGG